UGAAAUUGUGAGUUGGAAGUAGUCUUGACUGAUACGGCUGGUUGUACUGAGAAUUUGAUCUAGAGCUCAUAUUUGGGUGAUCUCUCUACCCCGCACAAUAUGUAUUUGAAUGUGGAUCAUAGCGCCUUUAGGGUGGCCCUGAGAAGUUCCCAACGACAUCUACUUGUGUUAUAUCCUCAUGUAAAAUCGGACAUGAGUCUGUUGAAUGAUCAGACAUGACACCAAUCCCACACAAUC
rnacentral:lncRNA from 1 species